AUUGAACGCUGGCGGCAGGCUUAACACAUGCAAGUCGAGCGGAGAGAGGUAGCUUGCUACUGAUCUUAGCGGCGGACGGGUGAGUAAUGCUUAGGAAUCUGCCUAUUAGUGGGGGACAACAUUUCGAAAGGAAUGCUAAUACCGCAUACGUCCUACGGGAGAAAGCAGGGGAUCUUCGGACCUUGCGCUAAUAGAUGAGCCUAAGUCGGAUUAGCUAGUUGGUGGGGUCAAGGCCUACCAAGGCGACGAUCUGUAGCGGGUCUGAGAGGAUAAUCCGCCACACUGGGACUGGAACACGGCCCAGAUGCCUACGGGAGGAAGCAGUGGGGAAUAUUGGACAAUGGGCGCAAGCCGUAUCCAGCCAUGCCGCGUGUGUGAAGAAGGCCUUAUGGUUGUAAAGCACUUUAAGCGAGGAGGAGGCUACUUUAGAUAAUACCUAGAGAUAGUGGACGUUACUCGCAGAAUAAGCACCGGCUAACUCUGUGCCAGCCGCCGCGGUAAUAC
rnacentral:rRNA from 1 species